rnacentral:rRNA from 1 species
CGGGGUACUCGAGUGGCGAACGGGUGAGUAACACGUGGGUGAUCUGCCCUGCACUUUGGGAUAAGCCUGGGAAACUGGGUCUAAUACCGAAUAUGACCACGCUCUUCAUGGGGUGUGGUGGAAAGCUUUUGCGGUGUGGGAUGGGCCCGCGGCCUAUCAGCUUGUUGGUGGGGUAAUGGCCUACCAAGGCGACGACGGGUAGCCGGCCUGAGAGGGUGACCGGCCACACUGGGACUGAGAUACGGCCCAGACUCCUACGGGAGGCAGCAGUGGGGAAUAUUGCACAAUGGGCGCAAGCCUGAUGCAGCGACGCCGCGUGAGGGAUGACGGCCUUCGGGUUGUAAACCUCUUUCACCAGGGACGAAGCGUAAGUGACGGUACCUGGAGAAGAAGCACCGGCCAACUACGUGCCAGCAGCCGCGGUAAUACGUAGGGUGCGAGCGUUGUCCGGAAUUACUGGGCGUAAAGAGCUCGUAGGUGGUUUGUCGCGUUGUUCGUGAAAACUCACAG